AAGCAUGUCCAAUGGAUGUCCCAUGAGUUAAGCAUGUCCUUAACAUGUUCCCAUGAUCGAAGUGUGUCCAAUGGAUCUCGCAUGACCUAAGCAUGUCCUUAACAUGUCCCAUGACCCAAGCAUGUCCGAUGGCUCUCGCAUGAUGCAGGCGUGUCCCAUGGACAUCCCAUGACUGAAGCAUGUUUGAAGCAUGUCCCAUGACUCAAGCGUGUCCAAUGGAUGUCACAUGACCUAAGCAUGUCCUUAACAUGUUCCCACGACCGAAGCACGUCCGAAGCACAUCCCAUGUCCUUAACAUGUUCCCAUGCCCCAAGCAUGUCCAGAGGAUGUCCCAUGACUUACACAUGUCCUUAACAUGUUCCCAUGUCCUUAACAUGUUCCAUGCCCCAAACACGUCCUUAACGUGCCCCCACCCCACCCACCGCGUGUCCCACGCCCCACACGCGUCCGCCACGCGUGUCCCGUGUCCGAGGCGUGUCCCAGGCGUGUCCGAGGCGUGUCCCAGGCGUGUUCCAGGCGUGUUCAGGCGUGGCGGGGCAGGGGGUGGCUGACCCGCAGGCAGCCCCAGUAACCAGCCCGCAGGAGGCAGGCGCCCGCCCCGGCCACCAGUAGGGCCCAGGCCGCGUGCAGGGCCCCGAAACGCCGGGCGGCCGCCCACGUGCCCACCUGGGGGGGGACCAGUAUGGACCAGUAAGGGCCCAGUAUGGCCCAGUAACCCAGAAAGGCCCCACCAGUACAUACCAGUAAGGAACGAGG
rnacentral:lncRNA from 1 species